rnacentral:rRNA from 1 species
UAGUGUAUGCAAGUACUACGAUAGCAUCGGCUAUCGUGCAGCAGCGCGGUAAUACGGAAGAUGCAAGUGUAUCCGGAUUUAUUGGGUUUAAAGGGUGCGUAGGUGGUCUAAUAAGUCAGUGGUGAAAUCUCUUUGCUUAACAAGGAAAUUGCCAUUGAAACUGUUAGACUUGAGAAUGGACGAGGUAGGCGGAAUUCGUAGUGUAGCGGUGAAAUGCAUAGAUAUUACGAAGAACUCCAAUAGUGUAGACUGCUUACCAGACCAUAUCUGACACUAAGGCACGAAAGUGUGGGUAUCAAACAGGAUUAGAUACCCUGGUAGUCCACACAGUAAACGAUGAAUACUAACUGUUUGCGAUAUACAGCAAGUGGUCGAGCGAAAGCGUUAAGUAUUCCACCUGGGAAGUAUGCCGGCAACGGUGAAACUCAAAGGAAUUGACGGGGGCCCGCACAAGCGGAGGAACAUGUGGUUUAAUUCGAUAAUACGCGAGGAACCUUACCCGGGCUCGAACGAUAUUUGAAUACAUCCGAAAAGAUGUAGCUAGCAAUAGCAAAUACCGAGGUGCUGCAUGGUUGUCGUCAGCUCGUGCCGUGAGGUGUCGACUUAAGUGUCAUAACGAGCGCAACCCUUACCGAUAGUUACCAUCAGAUAAUGCUGGGGACUCUAUUGGGACUGCCACCGUAAGGUGUGAGGAAGGAGAGGAUGACGUCAAAUCAGCACGGCCCUUAUGUCCGGGGCGACACACGUGUUACAAUGGGAGAAACAAAGGGUCGCUACCUGGCAACAGGAUGCUAAUCUCGAAAAUCUCUCUCAGUUCGGAUUGGAGUCUGCAACUCGACUCCAUGAAGCUGGAUUCGCUAGUAAUCGCACAUCAGCCAUGGUGCGGUGAAUACGUUCCCGGGCCUUGUACACACCGCCCGUCAAGCCAUGGAAGCUGGAAGUACCUGAAGUAUGUAACUGAAAAGAGCGUCCU